rnacentral:lncRNA from 10 species
UCUCUCUGUCACCCAGGUUGGAGUCCAGUGGUUCAAUCUCGGCUCACUGCAAGCUCUGCCUCCCAGGUUUACGCCAUUCUCCUGCCACAGCCUCCCGAAUAGCUGGGACUACAGGUGCAUGACACAAGGCCUGACUAAUUUUUUGUAAUUUUAGUAGAGAUGGGGUUUCACUGUGUUAGCCAGGAUGGUCUGGAUCUCCCAACCUCGUGAUCCGCCCGCCUCAGCCUCCCAAAGUGCUGGGAUUACAGGUGUGAGCCUGGCCAACAAUCUUUUUAAAGUACAUAUGAAAUCUAGCUAAAGGAAGAAUUAGGAAACAGGAAGAUGGAUCUCUAAAAAUUACCCCUAUAAUGUAGCACAGAAUGAUAAAGAAAAGGAUAACAUGUAAGAGAACUAUUUCAAAGGAAUCCAGAAGAAGAGAACAGAGAAAAUGGAGAAUACACAAUUAAAAUGGUAAUUGAGAAAUUGUUCCAAAACUGAUAUGAACAUGAAUCAUCAGAUUCAAAUAGUAAAAGUAGCCUCAACAUGAUAAGUACAAUUGAAUCCACACCUAGACAUAUCAUAAUGAAACUUCAGAACACCAACAUAAAAAACAAGUUUCUUUAAAGCGCCAGAAAGAAGGAAAAAUCAUUUGAAAGAAUAAUAUUAUACUGACUGCAGACAGCAGAAUUAUCGUAGCAACAAUAAAAGUCAAGAGAGUGGAAUAGUACCUUCAGUAAGUUGAAGCCACAUAGCUGUCAACUAGAAUUAUAUGUUGUUGUAAUCACCCCACAGCAAUGAAUGGGCUCCCCACGUGAAACUUUGUUCAGAUAUCAUGACUGAUGGUACCAUACACACAUACCAAGAGAGUAUGAACAUUUUUAUUAAUCAUGGAUUGAAGAUUCCUGGGGAGAACAGAUUCCCAAGCAGGUCUGAAAAUGGUUGGGAGAGCAGAGAAUGGAGACUGUCUUGGGUUUAUGAUGGUUAGGUAGUUAGAGGUGAAAGUGAAGUUUCCCUUCAUGAUCCAGGGCUUGCAUGGUUUAAUCUUUCUGACACCAACAAAGGAGGGUACCUAAGAAACCAGGUAAAGGUAUAUUGCAUUCCUUCCAAAGUGAAGGCAAAUUGAAAUUUGAGAGACUAUUGAAAUAGGCUCAGAACAGAUGUAGACAAAUAUGUGACUGAAAAGUACAUACCAGUUGCUGAUUGUUUGGUGUUUAUCUUCUCAUGGAGAAAGGAAGGCUGUGUGCAUACAAGUGACAUCUGCUGCUUGUUUCAAGUCCUAGAAUUGUAUGACUACCUUAGCUUCAUGUGGGCCUAGUGCCUCAUUCUGUUGGUCCUGUUCUUUGAUUAUACAGGCUGUUCACCUCAGGUACAGGUACACAUCUAUUGCUCUAUUGCUUCCUCCAAAGCAAAAUGCCCUUGAUAUUAAGUUCACAGAGCCUGAGGCUUUUGUCCAGAUUUUACUGAUUUCUCCAAUUUCUGCCUAGUAGUAAAGUCUUUGCCCUUAGACUAAGCCAGCUUUGUCCACUAGAGAUAUGAUAUGAGCCAUAUGCGUCAUUUAAAAUUUUCUAGUAGCUACAUUUAAAAAUAAAUUAACAGAGCUAGGUGAAACUAAUAAUACAGUGUAUUUACUCCAACACAUCCAAAAUAAUAUGAAAUGUUAUUAAGAUAUUUUGCAUUCAUAUUUUCUAAGUCUUCAAAAUUUAGAAUGUACUUUAUUUACACUUACAGAAUAUCUCAGUUAAGCGUUCAUUAAAAGUGCUUGAUCUGUGUUUAGAUUUUAUAAAAUUUACAGUUGAAAAAUUAGAUGCACAUACCUAAGUUAUUUCAAAUGUACAAAAACAGUUUCCAAAAGCUGAAUUGAGGGUCAAUUUUAAAAUUUAAAUUUAAAGUAAUUUAAGUUAAAUUAAAAAGUUAGUUUCUCAGUCUCCCUAGCCACAUUUUAAGUGCUUGGUAGCUACAAGUGGGCUAGCAGCUACUGCACUGGGCAGCACAGACUAUCGUGAAAUGCAGGCCCUCAUCUCAAAGCCUCCUUUCUGCUUGCAUGUUACAUCUUGAAUUAGAAAGAUGGGACUGCACCUCACUUCCUGAAAAUAACACUCAUAUACCUUAAACUGACAUUCAAAACUCUUAGUAACAUCUUGAAGGCAUUGAAACAGCCAAGGAUCUACAACUUCCUAAUUAAACUAGCUAAAAUUAAUUUUUCCUUAUUUUGUUAUCCCAAAGAACUUCUUCUUACCUCUGUUUUAGGCUUUAUUCCAAUAGGCUCAUAGUAUUUUUUACUGUAUCCUUGGUGAAUCGCCAUGUCAUAAUCCUAAAGAACAUGAUUCCUAAGUUUAGAAAAAUCUAGGUUUGAUCCCCCGAAUGCCCAUCUAUUGGCUUGGGCAGUUAUGUCUUCUGAGCCUAACAUUCCUUAUUUACAAAGUGGGAAUAAUACUUACUUAAUAAUAUGAUGUAGUGAGGAUUAUAAGUGAUACAGCCUAUAAAGUGCUUUACUUUGUGUCAGAGUUUGUCACCAAAAAAAUUACAAAAAUAAUGUUAGCAAAUAUUUAUUGAUCUGUUUCUCACUAAAAUUUAAGUCUUUAAAGGUGAGGGUCAUUGAUCUGCUUGCUAAAGGGACAUCACCUAGCACUGUGCUGUGCAUAUGGCCGUAUAUACAGCUCAGUCAAUGGUUGAGUUUAAAUUCAAACUGACUGCUACCACUGACUGGAUUCAGACUUCACCCUGCUUCGCAUGCCCUCCUUAUCUCCAUUUGUAUAUCUCUUCCAGUUGCUUUGCCUCUUUGUCUUCUUGGUCUCAAUAGUCACUAAAGUUUCAAGCAACAGGUGAGAAAAAUAAAAUUAAAAAGCCCUUUUUCAUAAGGCAAAACAGUCAUGGAAUAUAAAGGAAAUUUAAUUUUAGAACUGCAUUAGAAUAAAGUUGGUUAGGUAUAAACCCUUAACUCCUAGAAACGUAUUCAGAGCAACAGGCAUCUCCGCCAGCUCCCUGGGACCGGGCUACAGUGGAGUUGUGUCAUAGUGCAAAAGUAGUGAACUGCUGAUAAAAAGCAUUAACCUCCAUCAGAGUGGCUGCCAUUAACUGAUGAAAUCAAUUAAGCCAGCAGCACUACCUGCUGAAAACUGAUCUAGCAGAGGAACGGAUGGCAGGGUAGAACAGAUGAAAUGAAAAAAUAGUGGGCUGGGUUUUCUUCUUGCUCUGUUUUUAGAAAUGUUAAGUUCCGUCAGUGUGUUUUUUUGCACUGCUUUGAAGAACUCUUUCCCCGGCGACUCCCCCCCUGCUUGGCCUCAUUCCUUAAACUCACUAAGUUAUUACAGUUAAUACCGUGGUUAAUGGUUUCUGGAAAGACGAUAUCUAUCAGCAUCUGAGUGUACACAUUUUGGCCUAAAUACUGAGAAAUCGUAGGUAUGUAAUACAAAGCCUGGGUGUGCCUGCCUGUAGAAAGUAGCUCAUUAGGAUUAAUCUUUUAUGGAGUGACUAAUGCAAAGGGAACGAGGCCUUUUCCUCCCCAACUCGGCAGAGGUUUUGUCCAAACUUUCAAACAGGUUUCUUUGGAAUACAGCUGGUCACUACUGAAGACUUUGCUCAAACAUAUGGAACUUUAAAACCUUGAUUUUUUUUUUAACUUUUGUAUACUGUAGCAAUUCCCUGAAAAUCAAAUGGCAGAACCUAAACGGAAGACUCACUGCCAAAACGCAUGCCCAGUUGGGGAAAAGUGUGUGGGGAAUCAUCCAGCACACUUCGAGAGCUUCGAGUACAGCCUGGUAGAACUCUGUAUUACCUUCUGUUCUGAUUCCUGAGCUCUGCCAGACUUUUGUUUGAAAAAGCAUCUUUAUGCAGCAGUACAUUUGUUACGUUGUAUCUGAGAAUACUUUCCACCUUGGCUCCUGCUUUUAACGAGUAAAAUGACUUCUUCUCUUGCUACAAAGACCAAAAGGACACAAGGUACAAGGCAGAGCUUCUCAGCAGAGAUAUAUGUUUUUUUCUGCCAAAAUUAGUAUAAGACAAUAAGUUGUCUGUAAAGGUCCGGUAGUCAGAUAAAGGAGUCAAGUUCCUUUUCAGGGUAAUGUAAUUGUUAGUCCUCAUAAAAAAAAGUGUUGUGUGGUGGGGGGAGUUGCGGCUUUAUCAAUAAAAGCAUACAGAGCUGAAUAUCUACAUAAAGAAAUGUUCAGUAUAAUUUAUGGCAUUUCAUCAUGUCGAACUGCAUUUCAAGUAAUUCACCCUGGCAGUUUUAUUCUCAAAAUGGAAAUCUUAGUAUUUUCCUUGCCUUCAUCAAAUAAAGAGUUCGUGUUCAACUGUAGUCCGUAUACUUGAUAAUUUGUCUGGCUGGGUAAGGUUAUUAGCAAUUUAAGAAGUAAACCCAUUUGGAUUUUCAGAGUUAACAGAAAUAGGAGAUUGCUAUGAUGAUCUCUUAAAAAUUACAAUGUAACACACAAAAGUGAGAUUUAAGUAACAAGAUUUUCCAUACACCAAUAACACCAGGGAAAUUCAAACUCAAACUCCCUCGUUUAAUUUCCAGGGAUUAAGGGGUUGGUAUUGAAGUCAAUGAAAGAUACAUUUUACAAAACUGUUAAUUCAAUUCAGAAAAGCAGACCAAAGGCCCACUAUCUUUAGAGUUUCUUUGGUUGAAAUGCAACUUGAUCAACUGGGUGGAAGAUAUUUCUAAUUCUCUAAACUGGUCAGAACAAAGUAGAGGACAGUGGUCCCAGCCAGAGGAUCCUGAGGGUCUCCUAUGAUAAACUGUUAGACUUGCAAGGGCAUUUAGAGAUUAUUUAGCCCAAACCUAUAGCUUGGUAAAUGAGGAAAUUGAAGCCUAGAGAGUAAAUGACUUAGCUAACAUCAUUCAACUGGUCGGUAUAGGUGUUCACUCACUUGCCUUUCAAAUAGAGAUCUUUUUAACUCCCUCAUCAAAUUCUUUCAGGAAUUAUUGAUUUUCUUAGUUGGUUUCUUUUGAUUUUAUAUUUUAUCAUGGAGAUGAUAUUAAUUCCAGGAUAAAAUACUGAUAUAAGGAAUUUUCAAAAUUGUUGCUCAUUAUUUUCUAAUUUUCAUUUAGCCUCUUGCAACAUUGCAAACAAAGUUGAUAACAUUUUACCUUUAGAUUCACCUUUUCAAUUUACAAAACACUUAAUGUCUAAGACUUGCCAAUGAUAUAAGCUAUUUACUAUUUAACACAUUUAUAGAUAAGGUGUAGAGCAUUGGCAAGGUUAAAUGACUUUGCUAAGGUCACACAACCAGACAUUAGCGAAGCCAGACCUUGAACCCAGCAUUUUUUACUGUUUACACCAUGUUAGUUGUGAAUGUAUAACUAAGGCAAAGGGAUCACCUCAUAAAGUUCUUACUGAUGAGGGACUGAAUUGUUUAUUUGCUAUUUCACUGUAAGAAGCUUCGCUUAAUGGAUAAAAGCAUAAGAUUUAGACUCAAACCAGAAAUCCACCUCUACUUUAUAGUAGUAUGGGGACAUUGGUUAAGUGAUCUCUUUUAUUCACAAUCGUCUCAUCUGCUUAAUGGUGAUAAUAAUAAAUGUAGGUUUUUCUGGAACAAUUAAAUGGCUAAUGCAUUUGAGAAAAAGCAUGUAUUUCAUUGUUUGGCAUAAAAUAAACACUAUAUAUUUUUAGUAACUGUUACUAUGCUAUUAUUCUAAGCUAUACUAUCAGCAAGAUGUAAGUAAUGCUCCUAUUUCAUCAUAAAUAUAUAAAUACUUAUGUUUUUAUGUAUAGAUUGUUAUGCUUACAUAGGUUUCAGUGCACUUUGUUAGUAAUUAUUCUUCAUAUCUUUCAGAAUGCAAACUUCUUAAGGUCAAAGACAUGUGUUUUAUCUUUGAUAUAGAAUAUUUUCAAUGACAAGAUAUGUUCAUCUUUAUAUCCCCAAAACCUAUCAUGUUUUUGAAAGACAGUAAGUGUUAAUAAACAGUUAUUAGUGUUGAAAUAGAGUUUUGUAUUGACUUUGAAAAUAAUCCUUACUCUGGGUUGGUUGGCUGAUUGGCUUGUUUAUUUAUUUAGCUCAUGAGAUGAGAGGGGUAGACAUUUACUCUUCUAUCUAAAGGUCUUAGUUCCCUCUUGGCUGUCAUUUGGUGAGUAACUUGCUUUGCUGUUGUUUCUGUGGUGUUUAGAUAUCUAUAUGUAAAUCUUGUAACAUGGUCUUAGCUCCUUUCCUGGCAAGCUAAUUAUCUGAUGAGCAACCAAAGAAAUGAUCUAUUCUAGUGGAAGAGAAAAAAUUGACUGUGUUAAGCUUACCGAGAAAUAAUACUGUACAUACUAUUGCACUUUAUGAGACUUAAAGAAUUUGAAUACACAGUUUUUAUAUGCAUGCUAACCUUAGCUGCCUGGAAAGAUGCAGCAUAACUGCUUAAACUUAUUUUUUUUGUUGUUGUAUACUAACUUAUUUUAAAUGAGGAUGAGUAGAUAUAGACAUAUAUAUAUAUAUAUUUAUACACACACACACACACACACAAAUAUAUACACCUUCCCCCAAGUGCAUGUGCACGCGCGCACGCGCACACACACACACACACACGCAACUAGUUGACUGAGGAAGAUAAAACUUGGGCCUGAUUUACAGAUGUUUCUGCACAAUAUUCAGGCACCAUUCAAAAGUGGACAGCAACAGCAGUGCAGCCCCUUUCUGGACAUCCUUGAAAGACGGCAGUGAAGGAAAUUUCUCCCAGUGGGCAGAACUUCAAACACAGCACCUGGAGACACACUGGCAAAGGAAAUAACCAGAGGUAAGAGUCUAUACAGAUAUAUGAUCUGUGGCCAAUGGUUUGGAAACAAAAUGAUUAUAAAAUUGGUAACAAAGAGGUUUGGGAAAGAGGUAUGUGGAAAAACCUUUUUGAUGGCAAAGAGUGUAAAGAUAUCUGUGUCCCAUAUGAAUGCUAAUCAAAGGGUGACCUCAGCAUAGGAGGAUUUUGAUAAUCAAGUGGACAGGACGGUCUGUUCUCUGGAUACCAGUCAGCUUCUUUCCCCGGCCAGUACUGUCAUUACGGAAUGCGCUCAUGGGCAAAGUGGCCAUGGUGGCAGAGAUGGAGGUUAUGAAAGUGCUCAGUAACAUGGACUUCCACUCACCAAGACUGGACUGACUACAGCCACUGCUGAGUGCCCAGUCUGCUGGAAAACAAACCAAUACCGAGUCCCUGAUACAGCACCAUUCCCAGCAGUGAUCAGCCAGCAAUGUAGUGGUAUGACAGCAUUGGAUUGCGUUUAUCAUGGAAGAGGCAAUGCUUUGUUCUUACUGGAAUGGACACUUACUCUGGGUGUGGAUUUUCCUUCCCUGCAUACAGUGUUUCUGCCAAAACUACCAUCAGUGGACAUACAGAAUGCCUUUUUUGCCAUCACAGUAUUCCAUCUAGCAUUGCUUCUGAUUAAGAAAUUUACUUCAUGCAAAUAAAGUGCAGUAAUGGGUCCACGUUCAUGAAAUUCACUGAUCUUACCAUGUUCCUCAGCAUCCUGAAGUAGCUGCUUCAUAGAAUAUUGGAAUGGCCUUUUGGAAAUUCAGAGACAGCACCAACUACAUGGCGACACCUUCCAGGACUGAAGUACUUUCCUCCAGGAGGCUGUAUGUGCUGUAAAUCUGCAUCUAGUGUAUGGUGCUGCUUCUCCCAUAGCCAGGAUUCAUGGGUCCAGGAAUCAAGGGGUGAAAACGAGAAAAUCAAGGGAUGAAAAUGACUCCACUCACUCUUACUCCUGGGAAGCCACUAUCAGGAGUUUUGCUUGCCAUCCCCCUGAACUUUUGCAUUGUUGAUCUAGAAGUCUUAGUUCCAAAGUUAGGAGUGCUUCUACCAGAAGACAUCACAAUGAUUCCAUUGAUCUGGAAAUUGAAGCUAUUACCUGACCAUUGUAAGCUCCUCAUGUCUCUGAGUUCACAGGCAAAGAAGAGAGUUACUGUACUGGCUGGGAUUAUCAGUCCUAAUCAUCAAGGGGAAAUUAAACUGCUACUCCACAAUGGAGGUAACGGACACUAUGUUUAGAAUGCAGGAGGCCCUUAGGUUGGCAUCUCCUAGUACUCCCAUGUCCUGUGAUUAAAGCCAAUGGAAAACUAUAACAAACCUGAGAGUGGCCCAGACUCUUCAGAAAGGAAGGUUUGGAUCACUCCACCAGGCAAACAACCAUGACCAUCAGAGGUGCUGCUGAAGGAAAAGGGAAUACGGAGUGCCUAGUGGGAGAAGGCAGUUACAAAUAUCAGCUACAAGUGUGUGACCAAUUGCAGAAACAAUGACUGUAAAUGUUUGUAUUUAUAGUGUUUGCAUUCUGUGGUACAGUGUUUGACCAUCACUGAAAUAUUGAACAUUGGAAGCUUUGGCUUUCCUGGAAGAGACAAAUCCUGGGGCCAAGCUUG